CCUACGGGAGGCAGCAGUGCGGAAUAUUGGUCAAUGGGCGGAAGCCUGAACCAGCCAAGUAGCGUGCAGGAUGACGGCCCUACGGGUUGUAAACUGCUUUUAUACGGGAAUAACGCGCCUUACGUGUAGGGCUUUGCAUGUACCGUAUGAAUAAGAACGGCUAAUUCCGUGCCAGCAGCCGCGGUAAUACGGAAGGUUCGGGCGUUAUCCGGAUUUAUUGGGUUUAAAGGGAGCGUAGGCCGCAUGUCAAGCGUGCUGUGAAAUGGCCGGGCUCAACCCGGGCCUUGCAGCGCGUACUGGCGUGCUUGAGUCCGCGGAAAGCAGGCGGAAUUCGUCGUGUAGCGGUGAAAUGCUUAGAUAUGACGAAGAACCCCGAUUGCGAAGGCAGCUUGCUGCAGCGGAACUGACGCUGAUGCUCGAAAGCGCGGGUAUCGAACAGGAUUAGAUACCCGGGUAGUC
rnacentral:rRNA from 1 species